rnacentral:rRNA from 1 species
UACGGAGGGUGCAAGCGUUAUCCGGAUUUCUUGGGUUUAAAGGGUCCGUAGGCGGACUCGUAAGUCAGUGGUGAAAUCUCAUAGCUUAACUAUGAAACUGCCAUUGAUACUGCGGGUCUUGAGUAAGGUAGAGGUAGCUGGAAUAAGUAGUGUAGCGGUGAAAUGCAUAGAUAUUACUUAGAACACCAAUUGCGAAGGCAGGUUACCAUGUCUUAACUGACGCUGAUGGACGAAAGCGUGGGGAGCGAACAGG